AUUAUAAAUCAACCAUGGUCGAGACAUUUUAAAGCCUUAAAACUUUGAUUUUCUCAUGGAAAAUUUCUUUAAUAAACUACGGUAAAUGAAGGAGUAAUUACCUUAACAAAUACACGCAUAUAGUGUGCAAUUAAUUAUUUCUCUUUUGUAAAAUCCUUUUCAAGAGCUUUGAUGUUAAGUGUAAAAUACAUGCAGUGUAUGCAUCAGUGUAUCAUCAAGUGUGGUUCAUUAUAAUAUUAAUUCUUGAAUUUAUCUUAAUCAAUCAUGGCACUCCUUAAUUUGUUAUUCUUUAACUCUCUGACAUAAUGUCACAAAAUACACCAACAUGUAACAUGCAUGAAAGAAUUGAAAUUCCCCUACGGGAGUGUUUAUAUACGUAAAUG
rnacentral:sRNA from 1 species